AUGAGACCUGGCAUAAAGAUAAAA
rnacentral:miRNA from 1 species